rnacentral:rRNA from 1 species
GACGAACGCUGGCGGCGUGCCUAAUACAUGCAAGUCGAGCGCAGGAAAUCAUCCGAACCCUUCGGGGGGACGUUGGUGGAAUGAGCGGCGGACGGGUGAGUAACACGUAAAGAACCUGCCCUCAGGUCUGGGAUAACCACGAGAAAUCGGGGCUAAUACCGGAUGGGUCAUCGGACCGCAUGGUCCGAGGAUGAAAGGCGCUUCAGCGUCGCCUGGGGAUGGCUUUGCGGUGCAUUAGCUAGUUGGUGGGGUAAUGGCCCACCAAGGCGACGAUGCAUAGCCGAGCUGAGGGGGUGAGCGGCCACACUUGGACUGAGACACGGCCCAGACUCCUACGGGAGGCAGCAGUAGGGAAUCUUCCACAAUGGACGAAAGUCUGAUGGAGCAACGCCGCGUGAACGAUGAAGGCCUUCGGGUCGUAAAGUUCUGUUGUAAGGGAAGAACAAGUGCCGCAGGCAAUGGCGGCACCUUGACGGUACCUUGCGAGAAAGCCACGGCUAACUACGUGCCAGCAGCCGCCGUAA